CCAGCCUGCUCCGGCAGCGUUCUCAGCGCCUUGCAGGUCAUUAACUGAGCUGCCCGAUCCCUCUGUGAGGUUGGGAAUUCACGAUUACGCCUCGCAGAAAUGCGGACCGAGCAAAGCUGGGAAAUAAAGCCGUUACCUUAAAGCCGAGCAGGCAGCCUGGGGAAGAGCUGCGUUCCCAGCUGGGCCGAGAGCGCGCGUUCGGCCUCAGCUCCCCCGGAGCAGAGCGGGAAGGCUGCGAGAAGGUUUGCUCCUCGUGGGGAAGCUCCGGCUCUGCUUCAGCUACACGCGAUGCCAUCCCUGUGGCAGCUCCACGGCUGUUCUUAUCAGCGUUCAUCCUAUUACUCAAUAAAAAUACCCCCUCGCUGCGUGAAGAACAGUUUUACAGCAUGAAGUGGAAUGCGUGAAAUCACAUAAGCCAUUGAAUAGGAUAGAAAGAACUCUACCUUAUACAAAGAGAGAACGCAAUUUCUGGCCAUAUGUAUCUUCAGAAUAUUGUACGCAAACAUAUUUACUGUGGAAGGAAGGUGUAUGUUAUUACACUAUUUGAGACCAUUUGUGUUAAACCGGAGCACAGAAAUUCAGAUGUCUGUACAUCCCUCAUCUUGGUGUGGAGACAGUCUGUAAAGAUAGAGCCUUGCAUGGCAUCCUCUGGUAAGUCUCAGUCCUGUGUAGCUGCAAAAUCUGUUGCUUCAGCUGUACUGUGGAAGACUGCAGUGAAGGACUACAGACUGCUGACUGUCUUUUUGCCACUGGCAGCUUUUUACAGAACCUUCACUGCAGAGCCUGGUUAGUAACUGCCCAUGUUCAGUCCAUUGCAACGUAAACCACGAGAAAUGAAGUGAGGUUUUGGGUCCUCACACUUCUGUAAUGCUUUGGAAAUGAGACAAGAUUAACUUUCUCUGCAAAUGCUGUCAGGUAAUCAAAACAGUGGGAAUACUUGUUUUUUUUCCUUGCCCUGCACAGGACACCAUAUAUAAGCUCAGACAGAUAUUGAGAGAAAAGUUGAAAGAUGGCAUCUACAUUUUCUGUACGUUCCCUCCCUCUUUGGCUGCUGCUGGCAUGAUCACACUCUCAAAGCUCUUGGUCCACCUUGCUGUACUCUAUAUGCAGACUGAGUAAGGGAUGUACUAGAAGGGCCUCCCAAGAGGAGUGAAUUCUGAAUCUGCUGAAUGAAGGUGAAUUGCCACAGUAGUGGCAGUAGUCGUACAGAACAACUGAGGUAUUGCCAUUAUUUCCAGAGUUCAGAGAGUUAAUACUUUUCCAGUGUUUGGUUGCUGCAUAACUAAGGAAAAAGAAGUAAUCUAACAGGUACUGUAAUUUGUUUUCAUACUGGGAUUCCAUUUUUUAGAGAAUAAUAGAACGUAUCAAAUUUUGACCAUUUGCAAACAGGCUUCAACAAAUUAAUUGUUGAGUAAAAAACUGAAUUUAAUAUUUACACUGUAAUUUCUCACUGGAACGGAGACUCAAUUAGAGUCUCAAUGAUUUACUAAAGACAUUUUAAGCAUAAUGUCCAAA